UACGGAGGGUGCGAGCGUUGUCCGGAAUCACUGGGCGUAAAGGGCGCGUAGGCGGCAGGCCAAGCGUGCGGUGAAAGUCCGGGGCUCAACCCCGGAUCUGCCGUGCGGACUGGUUUGCUAGAGCACUGUAGAGGCGAGUGGAAUUCCGGGUGUAGCGGUGGAAUGCGUAGAGAUCCGGAAGAACACCGGUGGCGAAGGCGGCUACGCUGGGCAGUGGCUGACGCUGAGGCGCGACAGCGUGGGGAGCAAACAGG
rnacentral:rRNA from 1 species